rnacentral:lncRNA from 1 species
AGUAUGUACAUGAACCGUAUAAGCUUAAAUCAAAGAAGUUGUGAAGUUCAUUUAUAAGAUUAUGAUUGAAAAUAUGAAAGGUUUGUUAGUUACAUGAAUUACAUAUUGAUAUGUUCAAAUUGAUGAUUUGUAUAUUCAUAUUAAUAUUGAGUUUAUUUCAUACGAGCUUACUAAGCUAUAUAGCUUACUUUGUUUAAUUUUUCGUGUUUUAUAGUGACUUUAAAGCUAGCUCAAACUCGGGGAUCGUCGAAGACAUCGUCACAUUAUCCAACUAUCAAUUUG